AGUCUGUGACGUGACUGC
rnacentral:misc_RNA from 1 species